rnacentral:rRNA from 1 species
UACGUAGGGUGCAAGCGUUGUCCGGAUUUACUGGGUGUAAAGGGUUCUCAGGUGGCUUGGAAAGUCAGUGGUGAAAUCUCAGAGCUUAACUCUCAAACUGCCAUUGAUACUUCUUAGCUUGAGUACGGAAGAGGCUGAUGGAAUUUCAGGUGUAGCAGUGAAAUGCGUAGAUAUCUGAAAGAACACCAGUGGCGAAGGCGGUCAGCUGGUCCGUUACUGACACUAAAGCACGAAAGCGUGGGUAGCAAACGGG